GAUCGAUUAAGUACCUACUCGAUCCAUUCAUAUCAUUAUUUGAUUUAUUAUUUUAAAUCAAUCAAUUAUCAAUUAAUCAAUCGGCUUUUGAUCCAUUUGAGCCUUUCGUAUUGCGGAUCUCUCUCUUUAUUGUUAUUUCAUUCGUUUUACAUCCGACGAUUGAAUGAUCAAUGGAGUCAAAAGCUGGCAAAAAGUCUAGUAGUAAAUCCUUAUUUUACGAAGCUCCCCUUGGUUACGGUAUUGAAGACGUUCGACCCGACGGUGGCCUAGAGAAGUUCAAGUCUGCUGCUUACUCUAACUGCACCCGCAAGCCUUCCUGAGUUUUUAUAAAUCGUGCUGCAUAACCCCUGGAUAAUAGUUUC